rnacentral:lncRNA from 1 species
GCCAGACAGCUGGGCUCCAGAGGCCGCGAGCAGUGUGCUCUCGGGGAGCAGCUUGUCAGAGGGGCAGAUCACUCCGUGGAAACCCAUUGCCCUGUUCAGAUUUGUCCAGGCUCGCAUUAGACACAGUUUGUGGAGGCUUCACGCUCUAGGAGGGAAGAAUGCUAGUGAGUCAAUGAAUUGAACCUCUUAUCCUUGCUUUCCAUUGCUUGGUUGUCCCACACACCCAGUUUCAGGCAGGGUCGUCAAGCUAAGGGCAGCCACGCCUCCUUGCCGUUCCUUGGGGGCACCAGUGGGAGUGCUGGGAACCCCACCACCCUGCAGGAGGGAAGCGGCAGGAGAGGACGGGCGCAGAGUCACAUGUCCUGAAGGAUGAAGGAUUUGCUCGCAAUCCCAUCUUGUGUGAUAAAUUUCAUCAACAGUGUCCAUUCCUUUCUGAAUCGACGUGCAUGAGGCAACUCGGGGCUUUAUCCACUCCCUGUGCAUGCGUAGCCCACUUCUGUUUUUGGACCCACUUGCUCAAUUUCCAGUCUGGGCGAUUAGCUUCCAGUUACUCUUCAUGUCAGAAGAGAAAAAUAAGUUUUACUGAAUCGGUGGUUCCAGGUUGAAUUGAAGAACUGCGGAGCCGGGGUUAGCGCUCCGGACGGGCUUGGUUUUAAAGGCUUUGAACAGUGCUACACACGAGCCAAGUGGCACCCUGUCCCCCUCGCUCCUGCCUACCCUGCCUAAAAUUCACGACACAGGGUGAAGCAACUAAAGCUGAAAAUGGGCAAUUUAGCUGAAAAGCUAAAUCAAUGCUUCGGUUUUCAAAUGUAAGCUCCGACUCAGGCUCUGUCUGCCGCCUGGGCUCGCCCAGCCCGCCUGCCUCUCAGGGGGAAACUCAAACUGAACGCACGUUGCAGAAACAAGAGAAUAGAAAAAAAUUCUCUUCCCUCCAAUUCCUUCUCCAGAGACCAGUGUAAAAUGCAUCCCCAGUCCAACACAAAUCUGCCUUUUAAUAACCACGUAAGCCUAGCUUUCAAUAAAAAUUAUUCCAAGUUUG